GCAUCAAUGGGGUAGUGGUAACCUGGGUCGUUGCCAUGUAUGUGUCCGUCCCAUUUAUAACUGAGCUUCGACCCACCGGGGAUUCGAUUCCCUCUUGAUGCA